rnacentral:rRNA from 1 species
AGAGUUUGAUCAUGGCUCAGAUUGAACGCUGGCGGCAUGCCUUACACAUGCAAGUCGAACGGCAGCACGGGGGCAACCCUGGUGGCGAGUGGCGAACGGGUGAGUAAUACAUCGGAACGUGUCCUGUAGUGGGGGAUAGCCCGGCGAAAGCCGGAUUAAUACCGCAUACGCUCUACGGAGGAAAGGGGGGGAUCUUAGGACCUCUCGCUACAGGGGCGGCCGAUGGCAGAUUAGCUAGUUGGUGGGGUAAAGGCCUACCAAGGCGACGAUCUGUAGCUGGUCUGAGAGGACGACCAGCCACACUGGGACUGAGACACGGCCCAGACUCCUACGGGAGGCAGCAGUGGGGAAUUUUGGACAAUGGGCGCAAGCCUGAUCCAGCAAUGCCGCGUGUGUGAAGAAGGCCUUCGGGUUGUAAAGCACUUUUGUCCGGAAAGAAAUCCUUUGGCCUAAUACGUCGGGGGGAUGACGGUACCGGAAGAAUAAGCACCGGCUAACUACGUGCCAGCAGCCGCGGUAAUACGUAGGGUGCAAGCGUUAAUCGGAAUUACUGGGCGUAAAGCGUGCGCAGGCGGUUCGCUAAGACAGAUGUGAAAUCCCCGGGCUUAACCUGGGAACUGCAUUUGUGACUGGCGGGCUAGAGUAUGGCAGAGGGGGGUAGAAUUCCACGUGUAGCAGUGAAAUGCGUAGAGAUGUGGAGGAAUACCGAUGGCGAAGGCAGCCCCCUGGGCCAAUACUGACGCUCAUGCACGAAAGCGUGGGGAGCAAACAGGAUUAGAUACCCUGGUAGUCCACGCCCUAAACGAUGUCAACUAGUUGUCGGGUCUUCAUUGACUUGGUAACGUAGCUAACGCGUGAAGUUGACCGCCUGGGGGAGUACGGUCGCA